rnacentral:lncRNA from 1 species
AAUCAAGUUGAACAACUAAGUACCAAAUCCUUUUUAAGGCACAAGACCAACACUUACAAGUACGAUUGAAUUCCCUGAUAGUAUCUAAUUGGUAAUGGCAGUGGCACUCGAAAAAGGUGCGCAUAAAUAGACCAUUUUCAAGGCAGUGAAAACAACAAUAGCAAUGUCCAUUUAGCAGUUGACUGAUUCUUACCCCAAUUACGAGCAACUGACUUUGACUUUUCAAGAAGUUCAUAUGCCAACCCAUUUCUGUGCAACUCUCUAGCAACACAUACAUUACUAAGGUACGCCCUUGUAGUAUCAGCUCCACUAACCUGACAGUAAAACAUUAUACAAUUUGAUGGAGGAAGCAUUGAACAAAUUAGUCACCAUAGAAGAGUUAUCAAUUUUCAUAUCAAAAGUCAAAACUUGAUCAUCCAAAACAAGCUUAAGGGCCUGUAUGGAUUGAAUUAUUUGAACUUAUCUACUAUAAGCACUUAUGAAACUAUUUGGGAGAGCUUAUGAAAAUGAUUUAUGAAGUGUUCAUGACUUGAUUUCAGCUUAUUUCCAUAAGCUCUCCAUGACAACUUAUGUAAACAACUUAUAGUUUAUAUGAAAACAGUUGAUUUUAUUUCAUCCUUUGUUAUAAAAAUGGCUUAUAAAUAAGCACUUAUACAAUAAGCGUUUGUCAUUUAUCCGGACAGAACAUAAACACACGUACAACUUAUAGACUUAGAAAUCUAGAAUGUUUGAAAAAUACCUCUGGCUUCAUUCCUACAAUUUCAUCAGGAAGACUCAAGCACUGAUUAAGAUCAAGAGAACCAACUACAACCCUGUCUUCUCCACUAGCAGAAUACUAAAAAAUUUCAAUAAAAACAAAGUCAAUUUUGUUAUUAAGAAACAAUAAACCAAAGACCGAUAAA